UACAGAGGUCCCAAGCGUUGUUCGGAUUUACUGGGCGUAAAGGGUGCGUAGGCGGUCGGGUAAGUCUGAUGUGAAAUCUCCGGGCUUAACCCGGAAAGGUCAGCCGAUACUGCGGGGCUAGAGUGCAGAAGGGGCAACUGGAAUUCUCGGUGUAGCGGUGAAAUGCGUAGAUAUCGAGAGGAACACCUGCGGCGAAGGCGGGUUGCUGGGCUGACACUGACGCUGAGGCGCGAAAGCUAGGGGAGCGAACGGG
rnacentral:rRNA from 1 species